rnacentral:rRNA from 1 species
AUUGAACGCUGGCGGCAGGCUUAACACAUGCAAGUCGAGCGGGGAAAGUAGCUUGCUACUGGACCUAGCGGCGGACGGGUGAGUAAUGCUUAGGAAUCUGCCUAUUAGUGGGGGACAACAUUCCGAAAGGAAUGCUAAUACCGCAUACGUCCUACGGGAGAAAGCAGGGGACCUUCGGGCCUUGCGCUAAUAGAUGAGCCUAAGUCGGAUUAGCUAGUUGGUGGGGUAAAGGCCUACCAAGGCGACGAUCUGUAGCCGGACUGAGAGGUUGAACGGCCACAUUGGGACUGAGACACGGCCCAG